rnacentral:lncRNA from 10 species
CUGGGAUUAUAGGAGUGAGCCACCGCGCUCAGCUUCUGUCUUCCUCUUCUUAUUAGAAGAGCAUUUUGAUUACAUUGGGCCCACCCAGAUAGUCCAAAUAAUCUCUUUAUUUUAAGGUCAGCUGAUUUACAAUUUAAUUACAUCAGUAACCUAAUGCACUCACAAAUUCUAGGAACUGAGAAGUGAACAUCUUUGUUGGGGGCAUUAUUCUGUCUACCACAUAUAGUAAAAUCUGAAUAAUGGCUGUAGAUUAAAAAUAUUGUAUCAAUGUUAAUUUCUUGAUUUUAACAAUUAUACUAUAAUUAUAUAAGAAAGUUCUCUGUCUUUAGGGAAUACACAUUGAAUUAUGAUGGGUAAAGGGGCAUCACCUCUGCAACUUAAAACAGUUUUCUCUCCCUCUCAUUUGUGGGAGCCAGAGAGAGAAAGGAUAAAGCAAUAGUAGUAAAAUUUUGUAUAUACAUAUAUAUAUAUUUUUUUAUACUUUAAGUUCUAGGGUACAUGUGCACAACGUGCAGGUUUGUUACAUAUGUAUACAUGUGCCAUGUUGGUGUGCUGCACCUAUUAACCCGUCACCCACAUUAGGUAUAUCUCCUAAUGCUAUCCCUCCCCGCUCCUCCCACCCCACAACAGGCCCCGGUGUGUGAUGUUCCCCUUCCUGUGUCCAUGUGUUCUCAUUGUUCAGUUCCCACCUAUGAGAACAUGCAGUGUUUGGUUUUUUGUCCUUGCGAUAGUUUGCUGAGAAUGAUGGUUUCCAGCUUCAUCCAUGUCCCUACAAAAGACAUGAAAACACUGAGGGAAUCUGGGUAAAAAAAAAUGGGAUUUUUUUGUACUACUCUUGCAAUUUUUUCAUAAGUCUGAAAUUAUGUCUUAAUACAAAAAAUUUAAAAACAAAUCCUUCUAAGUAAGUUUCCUGUAUCUAAUAAAUACUUAAAUUUGUGACAUAUUGUGAAUGCCAUGUUUAUUCAGAUGGAUAUUUUAAUAUCUCUUUCUAAAACUUUAAGGGUAUUUUAUUAAGUUGCUUAAUGUCAUUAUCUGCAAUUAACUAUGAAUAUAUUAUACAUUGGGAAGUCUUGAGCAUAAUAUAAAAGUAAAAUCAAUUAUUUUGGACUUCAAAUUCCUGUUGCCCCAUAACUUGGGUAUUAAUGUCAAAUAUUCUGAUUUUCUGCUUUAAAACCCAGUAUUACUUUAAAAAUGGAGCCUUAGAAAAAAAGAUGUUUAAAAGUAGGCAAAAGACUGUACUUUAAUUAAUAGUACUGUACCAAUGUUAAUUUCUUAGUUUUAAUAAAUGUACCAUAGUUAUGUCACAUGCUAAUAUUGGGGGAGGCUGGGUGAAGGGUAUAUGGGAACUCUCUGUACUACCUUUGUAAAUCUUCUGCAAAUCUAAAAUUAUUUCAAAAUAAAAGGGUUUAAAAAGUAGAAAAGAGAAAAACAGUCUUUCAUAAAAAUACAAAACAAUCUCAUCAUUUAUAAAAUGCUGUGAUAAUGGGACUUAUUUGAAAGAAGAAAAUUACAAAAACUGAGUAAAGUUAUUAAAAAGCAAAAAGAAUAGGGAAAUGAAAAUGGUGUAAAAAUAUUCCAAAGAGGGUUAAAAUCUAGGUGAAUUCCCUUAUUAAGCAAAAUUAUCUAGGUGAACUAGCCUUAGGUGCCUUAUCCUUGAGCCUAAGUAGGGAAAGGGAAAGAGAGGGAGAAACAAGGGCAGCGGGAGAGGGGUGUGAGCUGUGUGGUGUGUGAGGAGGAGAGGGCUGUGUGGUGUGUGAGGAGAGGGGUGUGAGCUGUGUGGUGUGUGAGGAGGAGAGGGGUGUGAGCUGUCUGGUGUGUGAGGAGGAGAGGGGUGUGGGCUGUGUGGUGUGUGAGGAGGAGGGGUGUGAGCUGUCUGGUGUGUGAGGAGAGGGGUGUGGGCUGUGUGGUGUGUGAGGAGAGGGGUGUGAGCUGUGUGGUGUGUGAGCAGGAGAGGGGUGGGGUGUGAGCUGUGUGGUGUGUGAGCAGGAGAGGGGUGUGAGCUGUGUGGUGUGUGAGGAGGAGAGGGGUGUGAGCUGUGUGGUGUGUGAGGAGGAGAGGGGUGUGAGCUGUCUGGUGUGUGAGGAGAGGGGUGUGGGCUGUGUGGUGUGUGAGGAGAGGGGUGUGAGCUGUGUGGUGUGUGAGGAGGAGAGGGGUGUGGGCUGUGUGGUGUGUGAGCAGGAGAGGGGUGUGAGCUGUGUGGUGUGUGAGGAGGGGUGUGGGCUGUGUGGUGUGUGAGGAGGACAGGGGUGUGGGCUGUGUGGUGUGUGAGGAGAGGGAUGUGAGCUGUGUGGUGUGUGAGGAGAGGGGUGUGAGCUGUGUGGUGUGUGAGGAGAGGGGUGUGGGCUCUGUGGUGUGAGGAGGAGAGGGGUGUGAGCUGUGUGGUGUGAGGAGGAGAGGGGUGUGAGCUGUGUGGUGUGUGAGGAGAGGGGUGUGAGCUGUGUGGUGUGAGGAGAGGGGUGUGGGCUGUGUGGUGUGUGAGGAGGACAGGGGUGUGAGCUGUGUGGUGUGUGAGCAGGAGAGGUGCAUGAGCUGUAUGGUGUGUGUGGCCCAGGCUGCUUGAGGACAAUCAGGUUCCACGUAAUAAUUCUGCCACUAAGUGGUUCCUUAAUAUUGGGUAAGUUGCUGAUAUAUUUAAAUCCUGCCUCACUCUCUCCAAAAAAGAGAUUUGAGGCAGCUUAUAAUAAAAUACAAGUAUAUUUCCUUCAUAAAAGGAAAAUUGAUCCAAAUCAUGAGAGAGAAUAAGGCAACGUGCUAAAACAGUGGUAAAGGUGGUGGAAUAGCAAACCAUGCUUUGAGUUUCCCCCUUGGCCAAAUGAAGACUCUCUUCAAAUGAGGGAGAAAUGAAAGAAAAUAAUCACGAAAGUGCCUUAAAACAUACAAGCUAUCUUGAUAAUGCCAGUCCUUCCUAAGUCCUUCAGAAACUUAGAAGGCAGCCUAUCUGAAAUCAAUGAGGCAAAACUCUCUCCGGCCAGGUCUGAUCUCCUGUAUCAGCCCAAGUGAGACAGCUCUGAGAGCAGACUGUCUGAGCCACAAACGAUCAGCAAGUUGUAACACAAACCUCUCUGACCACGCCAAACAUAUAAUCAUUGAAAUAACAGCUGUGCCUCCUGAGCCUUUAUUCUGGACGCUAGCUCAGCAACCGAGGAAUUUAUAAUCCACACUAGGACAGCAUAUCUCCCAGACAUUUCUGCUCAUGGCUGAUUUGUGCUUACUCUGCAGUAACCCCAACACAGAGACCAUGGUCAGGAGGAAAGAAAUGUCCAUGGAAAAAGUGGUGGGGAUCAACAGAGAAGUGUAAGGAAAAUUAGGACAGAAUGUCCUAGAAGGCACUGAAUAUUCAGAAAGGAAUUGGAUUAGAAAUUCUUAACAUUAACAAAAGUAACAUGGACAAAAUUUGAUGGCUGCAUUUAGUUACUAGAUGACAAAGGAUCUCUGUAUUAGGGCAGAUACCAUGGGAUGGGCCUGAAAAGCAUCGGUCUGAAGUUCAAGUGAUUUUUUUUUGUUAGUAGCCAAGGUGAAAAGAAUGAUGGGAAGAUGGAAGGGUUGUCUUCAAACCAGGCACGUUUCAUGGAGGAUCACUUAAAUUGAGUUGGACUUACUCAUGGGGACAAUAGUGUAAUAGAAGGUCACAUUCUUGAUCAAGUGCCUGAUGCUUGACUUUUUAUAGAAAUAAGCAAACUAUACUGAGUUAAUCAUAAAUAAUAACUUCAUGGCCAGUAUUAAUUACGAGGCUUGCUAAAGUGCACAUGCAAACAGGAUAAAACACCAAAUUAAUUGGUUGAUUGAAAUUUACUGGGAUGAUUUCCAGGAAUUAGAGAAAAAGGAAAUUAAUGCUGGGCUGCAGGAGGAACUGUAUGGAAAACCUGCAUUGGGAAUGGUGGGUCUGAGGCUGGGAGCCAGGGCAAUGGGCCUUGCAGACCAGAUUGCACUAGCCAGUUGCUGACCACAUGGCAGUGUAUGUGGUGUGUGCUGUGCCAUAUAAUGCAAGACUGUGGCUUUGCUUAUCUUCCUGCAAACAAGAGGAAAGAAAGGACAUUCAAGGCAGAGAGAGGAGUUAAGGCAAGGACAUGGAGGUGUCAUAAGUUUUGAAAUGUUGAUGUUUCUAAUGUUUGAAUUCCUAGUCGGGGCUUUUGGCUUUUCAUUGGAUUUAAAGAAAAAUAAUUCUCUUAAGUAUGCAUUUGACUUCUAUUAUUUAGAAUUCAUUCACUAAUGUAGAACAAAUACAGUCAUUCUAGGAGACUCAAUACAAAUACAAGGCACUAUAUAGUUGAUCAUAGCUCCCUAGUGGAACCUUGGACAGAUAACUUCCUAAAAAGCUUCGUAUUUUUUACUCUACCUAUUAUUAUUCAUUUAAACCUGCUUAGUGUGGACAAAAUUAUCUGCCAUUUAGAAUUCUCUUGUUUCUGUUUUCAUAAUCUAUGUGCCUGGAGAGAUCUAAUCUUUCCUUGGGCCUGUCCUUCCUUCCCUUAUGAAUGUAUCCACCUGCUUUCCCACCUCCUCACCUUCCUGGGUGCCUGGGGUCUUCUUCAGGCAUUCCAUUUUGAGCUUAAUGGAAGCGGAGCUGAUGAGUUCAGGUGUAUUAAGGGGCUAGGAUGUUUAUUUAUGGAGUAAACCUCUGGGGAUAUUCUGAAUCAGAUUAUGCUAGUAGCAACUUUUGAGAAACUGCUGUCCUGAAAAUGACUGAUGGAAUAGGAGCAAAAUUUUAAAAUCUCACUUAUCACUCUGACAGUAAUGAUAAAGGAGACAUAGCUGCAUCUGAAUUAGUCCUACAAAUGAGGGGAAAUGGUCCUCAAUAAAGGUUAAAAACAGGGCAUGUAAGAAAGCUGUAAUAGUACUAGUAAUUAGUGCCCUCUAAAGCUUUCUCCGAGGAAGUCUAAUGAGAGUAGUUCAGGUUCUUCUUUACAGGUAUCAUAGUUGUAACAAUUCCUAAGAUUGGGAAGGUGGCAUGAAAUCCACGGAGGCCCAGGGCAAUAAACAGGGCAUCAAAGAGUAAAGGGAAGGCCUUUGCAGGCCCAAAGCCUUCCUGCUGUCUCUGUAGCUCCCAAAGGCCUCACCUGGUCUCAGGUCACUUCAGAUGGGUCCUCCCUCCAGAAAGAGUGAGGUAAAUUCUAGUAAAAUUACCCGAUUCUAGCCUGUUAGUGCAGCACAUUACUUACUUUUUAUUAAAUCAUAGGCUUAAGAGCUUCUCAUCAUCUAAAGAAACUACCUUAAGCUAGACACGUGUGUAUUGAGAGACAGACAACUUUUAACAUACAUCUGCUAAUUUAGGAUGUCCAACAAAUCUUAGUUUUUUUUUUUUUUUUUGAGACGGAGUCUUGCUUUGUUGCCUCAGCUGGAGUGCAGUGGCAUGAUCUCAGCUCACUGCACUCCACCUCUCGGGUUCAAGCUAUUCUCCUGCCUCAGCCUCCUGAGUAGC